rnacentral:lncRNA from 1 species
GGAAUGAUCGUAGUUCUAUCGGAAUGGUCGUAACUCAUCGCUCGAGUGUCCGUUUUUGAUGAUCUACAUAUUGUUGGAAAGCUUAUUCGAUCCUCUACGCAAUGGUAGGUCAACAUCUUAGAAAUACUACACAGAAAAUUUAUGGAUCGCUCUAAAGCGUAGAACUCGAUACGUUUCUCACGAAAUCUUUACGAAGAAAAUUUUC